rnacentral:rRNA from 1 species
UACAGAGGUCCCAAGCGUUGUUCGGAUUCACUGGGCGUAAAGGGUGCGUAGGUGGUGGGGUAAGUUUGAUGUGAAAGCUCCGAGCUUAACUCGGAAAUGGCAUUGAAUACUAUCUCGCUAGAGGAUUGGAGGGGGGACUGGAAUUCUCGGUGUAGCAGUGAAAUGCGUAGAUAUCUGGAGGAACACCGGUGGCGAAGGCGGCAUCCUGGACCAACACUGACGCUGAGGAGCGAAAGCCAGGGGAGCGAACGGG